AUUGCCUUUGCUUUAAUCGAAGCCUUUUACUUUUUUCCUUUUUUCCUUCACUCAUUUCACCCACAUCCUGACUUUCACUCUCCCUCUCUCUCUCUCCCUCUCUCUGCAUUACUCUCAACUCAUCAUCUCUCGCCCUCAUAUGCUCACAGUUUCAAUGAUAGCAUCUCUCCAUCUAUUUUUCCUUCACGGAUUCAUAAAUAAAUAGAGAGAUCUUAUUCAUUUCCCACAAAUCUUAUUUAUUUGUUGUUUAUUUUUUUAUUUUGCUAUUCGCAUGAUCUGGGUUGAUUUUCGCCUCUAUUUGUCUAUAUGGUUCUUUAUUUAUUUUUUUUGUUCCUAUAGAUAUGAAUGAAUAGAUCUUGAAGCGAUUUGGGUGUUUUUGGUUUUUGUAUGCUCUAGGUUGAUCUUCUUCUCUCUAUGGCUAUUUUUCCAUCACGGAUCCGUAGGGAAAUGGAGAGACCGUCAUUUCCCACAGACCUUCUUCAUUUGUUUAUGUUUUUUGUUUUUUAAUUUUGUCGUUCAGAUGCUCACAGUUUAUCUUUGCCUCUCAUUGUCUAUAUUGUUCUUUAUUUUUUUAAUUUUUUUCUAUAGAUCUAAACAUCUCUUCAUAGAUUUGAAGAGAUCUUGUUCAGAUCUGGUUAUUUUUUAUUUUUAUUUUGCAGUUCGCUUAUGAAUAGCUGAACAGAUCUUCACAGAGUUGAAGAGAUCUUGUUCACAUCUGAGUUUCUUUUUUUAUCUUCUUUAUUUUGCUGUUGUUCUUUAUGGUUUUUUUUUCUGCAAAUUUGAGUACAUAACGUCGAUAUAUUUUUUUUAAAUACUAUCCUACCUUGUCGAAAUCUUUUACAGAUCUGAAUCUAUAAGUCUGUAAGAAUUAUUUUUAAAAACAUUUCGUUCUUGUUCUUUAUUUUGUUAGAUACUGUUAGAUAUCGGAAUCUUGUUCUUUAAGAAAUCCAAAUGAUUCUUCCAACCUUUUAACAUUGUUGUUUGUUUUCGUGUAGAGUUAUUUCUAGUGUUGCUUUAUUUCCAGUAUAGAGUUGAUCUUUUACUGCUUUGCUUUAUUUUAUUUGUUCUUAUUUCCAGUCUUGUAAAUAUUUUUUAGUAUAAAAAUGCAGUUAGUUAUAUAUGAUCUUUUAUGGUAUGGUAUUUUUUAAGGCUUGUUAUUUGUUACGAUGUAUAGUUGUUUUCAGUGUUGCUUUAUUUCCAGUGUGGAGUUUAUCUUUGUUUUAGUGUUGCUUUAUAGUUGUCCCCUCCCAGGACAACACCAUGGGUUCCAUUGUGGGUUCAGCCACUAUGGGUUCCACUGCACAACCCUCCCUUUCCCUCUCCUCCUUCAAAGGUCCGCACUCUCUCUCUCUUUGUGGGUUUUAAUUUUAAUUUUAUUUUUAUUUUUUUAUUUUUUUUGUGCUUGUUGUAGCGACGAACCGUUGGGAUCUGGCAUGUCACAAGCAUGCCAAGGGCAGAUGGCGUAGGUUUUUGGUUGGAUGCAUGUGAAAUUUGUUAAUCUUUCCUCUGGGUUGUUUCUCUUCGCAAAUCUGAAGUGUAGAUUAUAAUGAAUUUUAUGUUGUAUGACUUUUCAUGCAUACGGUAUUUGUGCUGUGAAAUCUUCUCCUUUUGUUGUCUUCUGCAUUGCAUUUUUUUUAGUCUAUUGUUGGCCAUGUUUUUUGGCAAUUUUGAUAACUCCCAGGUUUUACCUAAUCAAGAAAUUCACUUCCUAUAUGCAUAUAUGAUAUUUAAAAUAAUAAAAGCUGGCAACGCAGAGCAAUUUGUUUGGUACAUAUAGUUAAUUCCAAUAAUAAAAUUUUUAUUCUAAUUACAUGAUUAAAUAAUUUAAUUCUUAAAAAAUGAUUUUAAAAAAUUAUGAAAUACCAGCUUCUUUGACAUGUGUUGAGGAUGAGCUCAGCGAGAGGGUGAAAUGGUGGCAAGUGGCAAGUCAGUUUGGCCAGUCCUGUAUGUACUACUAAUCCUAUCUUUUUUAGUUAUCUAUUUAGUAAAACUAAAUAGGUGUAAAGUUAUAAAUUUUUUGUUUUCAAGGUGCUUUACAGCUUGCAUGAUGGUGAUAUAUUGGCAGGAAUACUUUUUUUCAAAUCAGUUUUACGCCCACAAAAGCUUCUCUCCUUGUCUAAUCUUGAUUUCCCUUCCUCUCUCUCCCCACCUCUCUCUCUCUCUCUCUCUCUCUCUCUCUCUCUCUCUCAAACAACUUCAUCUUCCGUCUAGAUCUCUUUCUUUCUCCCUAUAUUUAAAUGAUCUCGAUGGCAGACUGUAUUUCUUUCUCUAAACCCAUUUUCAGCCCUCUUUUUUUAUCUUGAGAAGGAGUUAAGAAGCAACUGAAAAACCUUAACUUAUUUUACACCUCUUUCUUUCUCUCCCGCUUAGAAGCUAUCUGUUUUUUAUUUUUUAUUUUGCAAAUAACAUCUGAUCUAUAUGUGUUCAUUUAGAUCUUUUAGUUUUCAUUUUAUUUUUUAGAUCCUAGAGUUUAACACAUGUUAAACAUGGGUUUGCAUGUUUUGAGUUUUGUCUUUGGGUUUUUUUUUUCACAUUUUUUGCUCGAUCGACUGCAUGUUUUUUUGGUUCUCAUUUAAUUUUUUAUAAAGUAGAUGCUUAUUUUUGGUCGUUUGAUGCAUUUUUUUUUACCGUGAAGCCCUUUGUUAAUGGUGGAACAUCUUGUAUGCUCACUACAUGCGUCAUCCAACCCAUUGAUAUGAUCAAGGUGAGGAUUCAAUUGGGUUAGGGAUCAGCAGCCCAAGUGGGGAUGACCAUGCUUAAGGAGGAGGGCUUUGGUGUCUUUUACAAGCUUCUAUUCCAAUGCAAUAGCUGGCACACGUAUAGAAGGGAAAAAAUAAGAAUAAAUGGGACUGUAGUCUUUCAAAGUUGUAACUUAUUAUAAUGUUUUGUCAUUAUAAUUUAUAGGAAAAGACAAUAGUAUCCAUGCCUAAUUAAUUUGGCACUAUUUUUCUUCAAAAAUUUGAGUUAUUAUAUUAAUGGAAUUCAAACAGACAACACAUUUGGUCA